UGUGGGAGCUGGCUUGCCUGCGAUAGCGGUGGGCCAGGCCGCUCAUCGAUUGCUGUUGCACCGCCAUCGCAGGCAAGCCAGCUCCCACA
rnacentral:ncRNA from 2 species